rnacentral:rRNA from 1 species
GAUGAACGCUAGCUACAGGCUUAACACAUGCAAGUCGAGGGGUAGCAGGGUAGCAAUACCGCUGACGACCGGCGCACGGGUGAGUAACACGUAUCCAACCUUCCCAUAACUCAGGAAUAGCCUUUCGAAAGAAAGAUUAAUACCUGAUAGCACUUAAGAAAGGCAUCUUUUUUAAGUUAAAGAUUUAUCGGUUAUGGAUGGGGAUGCGUUCCAUUAGAUAGUUGGUGAGGUAACGGCUCACCAAGUCUUCGAUGGAUAGGGGUUCUGGGAGGAAGGUCCCCCACAUUGGGACUGAGACACGGACCAAACUCCUACGGGAGGCAGCAGUGAGGAAUAUUGGUCAAUGGGCGAGAGCCUGAACCAGCCAAGUAGCGUGAAGGAUGAAGGUCCUAUGGAUUGUAAACUUCUUUUAUAGUAGAAUAAAGUGAGCCACGUGUGGUUUUUUGUAUGUAUACUAUGAAUAAGGAUCGGCUAACUCCGUGCCAGCCGCCGCCGUAA